rnacentral:rRNA from 1 species
AGAGUUUGAUUCUGGCUCAGGAUGAACGCUGGCGGCGUGCUUAACACAUGCAAGUCGAACGAAGCAACUAGUCUUGCUUGCAAGAGAGUUGACUAGUGGCGGACGGGUGAGUAACGCGUGGGUAACCUGCCUCAGUACAGGGGGGAUAACAGUUGGAAACGACUGCUAAGACCGCAUAACCCGCUAGUGUCGCAUGACACGGACGGAAAAUAUUUAUAGGUAUGAGAUGGGCCCGCGUCUGAUUAGCUAGUUGGUAAGGUAACGGCUUACCAAGGCGACGAUCAGUAGCCGACUUGAGAGAGUGAUCGGCCACAUUGGGACUGAGACACGGCCCAAACUCCUACGGGAGGCAGCAGUGGGGAAUAUUGGACAAUGGGGGGAAACCCUGAUCCAGCCGACGCCGCGUGAGUGAAGAAGUAUUUCGGUAUGUAAAGCUCUAUCAGCAGGGAAGAUAAUGACAGUACCUGACUAAGAAGCCCCGGCUAACUACGUGCCAGCCGCCGC